rnacentral:tRNA from 2 species
GCUGGAAUAGCUCAGUCGGUAGAGCACCUCACUCGUAAUGAGGGGGUCGUCGGUUCAAGUCCGAUUUCCAGCU